rnacentral:tRNA from 1 species
GUGGGGGCUAUAGCUCAGUGGCAGUGCGCUUGCCUAGCAUGUGUGAAGCACUGGGUUCGAUCCUCAGCACCACA